CACCUGCUCUUUUUAUAAUUAAAGAUGUGAAUUCUUCAUCUAUGCUAAUUUAAAAUAAAAUGACAAAUCUUCAAAAAAUUGGCACACUAUAUUUUUGGUGACUUUGAAUAUUUUAUUUUGUUAUCUCAGUUUUGUAUUUUAUUUUCGACUGAAACUUGAAAUGUAUACUUAUCAAUAAUUUUGAUAUACUUUUAGCAAGCGCGUUCCCAACUGAUUAGCUUAAAUUUAAUUUAAUCAAAAAUACAGUAAGCAAAAUGUCUGAUAUGAUAAUUAAUGAUUCAGUUCCAGUUGAUAAAAAAUGGAGCGAACUAAUACGAUACAAUAUUUUUAUUAUGAAGCUGGUGGAAUUUGGCAUUUCACUUUUUAUCCUGUGCCUUCCGGUGAUAAUUCCAAAACCUCAAGGGCACAUGUACUGCAUUGCCACCGGACCGACAACAGUAAUAUCUAUGUUGUUUGUUAUUUUAUAUUUGCGACAAAAAGUACCUUUAUUUAUGGAAAAAAUGUACCUGGUUUUUCAAAUAUUUUUUACAUUUGGAGCGUUCAUUCAAUGUUUUUUGUUAAAUCUUGUAAGAGUCUGGUUAUGGUUAAUUUAUGGAGUAUGUUAUUUCGCUCUUUUAACGGCGUUAUCUUUAGAUCUAUUUCUAAUUGCUAAUGAAAGAGGAUGUACAUUUAGCUGUGCAUAAAAUAUUACAAAUAGUAUUAUUUUUUUUAUAGUUUAAUACUAUGUUAAAAUAAAAAACAGAAUCUUU